UACGGAGGAUGCGAGCGUUAUCCGGAUUUAUUGGGUUUAAAGGGUGCGCAGGCGGUCUGUUAAGUCAGCGGUCAAAGCCCGGGGCUCAACCCCGGCCUGCCGUCGGAACUGGGUGCCUUGAGUGGGCGAGAAGUAUGCGGAAUGCGUGGUGUAGCGGUGAAAUGCAUAGAUAUCACGCAGAACCCCGAUUGCGAAGGCAGCAUACCGGCGCCCUACUGACGCUGAGGCACGAAAGUGCGGGUAUCGAACAGG
rnacentral:rRNA from 1 species